rnacentral:rRNA from 1 species
AUUGAACGCUGGCGGAAUGCUUUACACAUGCAAGUCGAACGGCAGCACGGGGGCAACCCUGGUGGCGAGUGGCGAACGGGUGAGUAAUACAUCGGAACGUGCCCGGUCGUGGGGGAUAACGUAGCGAAAGUUACGCUAAUACCGCAUACGAGCUGAGGAUGAAAGCGGGGGACCUUCGGGCCUCGCGCGAUCGGAGCGGCCGAUGUCAGAUUAGGUAGUUGGUGGGGUAAAGGCCUACCAAGCCGACGAUCUGUAGCUGGUCUGAGAGGACGACCAGCCACACUGGGACUGAGACACGGCCCAGACUCCUACGGGAGGCAGCAGUGGGGAAUUUUGGACAAUGGGCGCAAGCCUGAUCCAGCCAUUCCGCGUGCAGGACGAAGGCCUUCGGGUUGUAAACUGCUUUUGUAUGGAACGAAAAGGCUCUGGCUAAUACCUGGGGCUCAUGACGGUACCGUAAGAAUAAGCACCGGCUAACUACGUG